rnacentral:tRNA from 1 species
CAGAAAAUAGUUUAUAAAAACAUUAUCUUUGGAAGAUAAAAUACAACACCUAAUAUCCAGUUGCUUUCUGA